rfam:Mustela putorius furo unplaced genomic scaffold scaffold00081, whole genome shotgun sequence.
GGUUCCAUACUGUAGUGGUUAUCACAUCUGCUUUACACACAGAAGGUCCUGGGUUUGAGCCCCAGUGGAACCA